CGCAGCGCUGGGGGAACACAGAGAUCCCGAUACACCUUCCCCUUCAAAGAUGGCUACCCCACAUCCACAUCCGUGGUAGAGGAAUAAAGAUGCAACGUGACUCGCUAGCCUAGGCCCCUGCAGCUGUGACCUCCUCUACCACGAUGGACCAAUGGACCAUAACCUUGGGUGAUGGAUCGUGAGGACUAAAGUUAACCUGUAAACUCCGAUUGCCCAAGGACAGAUAACUUCCUGGAAUGCUGGGGGCUGUUGUUCACGUCAGACAACAAGCCAAGUGUUUUCAGUAAACAAAAUUGGUUGCCCCAACUACACAAGAUGUGCUUGAUCACAAGGUAGGCAGGAGGUACAUGGGCAGGAGUACUCAGGAUGUAUGCUUGCCCCUGAUUGGACGAAGGCACCAUUCUCUGGGAAUCCCGGGUGUGGACCUGGCCAGUGUCCAUCUUUCUUGUCAACAUUUAUUAAAGUUUGCUUUAAUGAGGCAA